GGAAUAUUGGACAAUGGGGGCAACCCUGAUCCAGCAAUGCCGCGUGUGUGAAGAAGGCCUUCGGGUUGUAAAGCACUUUUAUCAGGAAAGAAAUCCGGUGGAUUAAUACUUUGCCGGGAUGACGGUACCUGAGGACUAAGCACCGGCUAACUUCGUGCCAGCAGCCGCGGUAAUACGAAGGGGGCAAGCGUUGAUCGGAAUUCCUGGGCGUAAAGGGUGCGUAGGCGUCCUGGUAAGUUCGAUGUGAAAGCCCCGGGCUCAACCUGGGAAUGGCAUCGAAGACUGGCAGGCUGGAGUGCGGUAGAGGGUGGUGGAAUUCCCGGUGUAGCGGUGAAAUGCGUAGAGAUCGGGAGGAACAUCUGUGGCGAAGGCGGCCACCUGGACCAGCACUGACGCUGAGGCACGAAAGCGUGGGGAGCAAA
rnacentral:rRNA from 1 species